rnacentral:rRNA from 1 species
CCUACGGGAGGCAGCAGUGGGGAAUCUUGCGCAAUGGGCGAAAGCCUGACGCAGCAACGCCGCGUGCGGGAAGAAGGCCUUAGGGUUGUAAACCGCUUUCAGUAGGAACGAAAAUGACGGUACCUGCAGAAGAAGGUGCGGCCAACUACGUGCCAGCAGCCGCGGUGACACGUAGGCACCAAGCGUUGUCCGGAUUUAUUGGGCGUAAAGAGCUCGUAGGCGGUUCAGUAAGUCGGGUGUGAAAACUCUGGGCUUAACCCAGAGCCGCCACUCGAUACUGCUGUGACUUGAGUUCGGUAGGGGAGCAGGGAAUUCCUAGUGUAGCGGUGAAAUGCGCAGAUAUUAGGAGGAACACCGGUGGCGAAGGCGCUGCUCUGGGCCGAUACUGACGCUGAGGAGCGAAAGCGUGGGUAGCAAACAGGAUUAGAUACCCUGGUAGUCCACGCCGUAAACGUUGGGCACUAGGUGUGGGUUCCAACCACGGAAUCCGCGCCGUCGCUACGCAUUAAGNCCCCGCCUGGGGAGUACGGCGCGACGACAACACAAGAAUAGACGCGNGAGACGNGCCGACGACGACGACGAGGGAGAG